CGCAUACGUAAUAGGGUUUUUUAUUUCUCCACCCAAACAAAAGAGCGAGGUGUAAACCUCUAAAUAAUACACGGGACAAGACCUGUAAAACAUGUGCAUAAUAACACGUAGCAUGGAAGCCGAUACAACAGCACAGGUACUCACAGGACCAACGGACAUGGGGACAAUAACACGUAGCAUGGAAGCCGAUACAACAGCACAGGUACUCACAGGACCAACGGACAUGGGGACAAUAACACGUAGCAUGGAAGCCGAUACAACAGCACAGGUACUCACAGGACCAACGGACAUGGGGACAAUAACACGUAGCAUGGAAGCCGAUACAACAGCACAGGUACUCACAGGACCAACGGACAUGGGGACAAUAACACGUAGCAUGGAAGCCGAUACAACAGCACAGGUACUCACAGGACCAACGGACAUGGGGACAAUAACACGUAGCAUGGAAGCCGAUACAACAGCACAGGUACUCACAGGACCAACGGACAUGGGGACAAUAACACGUAGCAUGGAAGCCGAUACAACAGCACAGGUACUCACAGGACCAACGGACAUGGGGACAAUAACACGUAGCAUGGAAGCCGAUACAACAGCACAGGUACUCACAGGACCAACGGACAUGGGGACAAUAACACGUAGCAUGGAAGCCGAUACAACAGCACAGGUACUCACAGGACCAACGGACAUGGGGACAAUAACACGUAGCAUGGAAGCCGAUACAACAGCACAGGUACUCACAGGACCAACGGACAUGGGGACAAUAACACGUAGCAUGGAAGCCGAUACAACAGCACAGGUACUCACAGGACCAACGGACAUGGGGACAAUAACACGUAGCAUGGAAGCCGAUACAACAGCACAGGUACUCACAGGACCAACGGACAUGGGGACAAUAACACGUAGCAUGGAAGCCAAUACAAC